rnacentral:rRNA from 1 species
GACGUAGGGCGCGAGCGUUGUCCGGAUUUAUUGGGCGUAAAGAGCUCGUAGGCGGCUUGUCGCGUCGACUGUGAAAACCCGCGGCUCAACUGCGGGCCUGCAGCCGAUACGGGCAGGCUAGAGUUCGGUAGGGGAGACUGGAAUUCCCGGUGUAGUGGUGGAAUGCGUAGAUAUCGGGAGGAACACCAGUGGCGAAGGCGGUUGCCUGGAGCUUUGCUGACGCUGAGGCGCGAAAGCGUGGGGAGCGAUCCGG